AGACAGGUAGGACAUAGACAGGUAGGACCAUUAGACCGGUAGACAUAUAACAGUUAGACAGGUAGACAUUAGACAGGUAGACAUUAGACAGGUAGACACUAUACAGUUAGACAGGUAGACCUACCAGUUUAGACAGGUAGACAUUAGACAGGUAGACUAGAGGACAUUUAGACAGGUAGACAUUAGGAC
rnacentral:lncRNA from 1 species